GGAUUCAGGACUUCACUCCCAACCCCUGUGACAUACCUUUAUGUUGCCUCGGCGGAUCAACCCGCGCCCCGUAAAACGGGACGGCCCGCCGCAAGAACCACAAAACUCUGAUUUUAGUGUAACUUCUGAGUCUAAAAAACAAAUAAAUCAAAACUUUCAACAACGGAUCUCUUGGUUCUGGCAUCGAUGAAAAACGCAGCAAAAUGCGAUAAGUAAUGUGAAUUGCAGAAUUCAGUGAAUCAUCGAAUCUUUGAACGCACAUUGCGCCCGCCAGUAUUCUGGCGGGCAUGCCUGUUCGAGCGUCAUUUCAACCCUCAAGCCCCCGGGUUUGGUGUUGGGGAUCGGGCUGUACUCCAGCCCGGCCCCGAAAUCUAGUGGCGGUCUCGCUGCAGCCUCCAUUGCGUAGUAGCUAACACCUCACAACUGGAACGCGGCGCGGCCAAGCCGUUAAACCCCCAACUUCUGAAUGUUGACCUCGGAUCAGGUAGGAAUACCCGCUGAACUUAAGCAUAUCAAUAAGCGGAGGAAAAGCGGAAGAAAAAU
rnacentral:rRNA from 1 species